GUGUUCUAUUCUUGCUGUUAGAUUCCAGCCUAUGAAUUUGUAACUGACAGUUAAUCUGUAAGUCUAUGUCGUUGUUUUUUUGUUUGAAUUGUUUACGUGUUCGCUAUGCGGGGGAAAUGAUAAGACAGGUGGAACUACGUGGCUAAUAACUGUUGUAACAGGGAUCAUUAUCGUAGCAACACAUCUUUGGGGGUGAAGGUUUUCCCGCGCGAUGUUAGCUAAGUUUUCAUGUUACCGGGUGUAGUUCGUAAAGGUUGAUAUGUGUAUGUUAGGAUGAAGCGUGAAUUCAUGCCAGGAAUAAUAAGUGUGAAGUUUGAUUUCCUCCCUUCUGUAAUAAGCAGCCAAUGAGAUGUCCCCAAAAAUGUCGACGCUCCCCAGAGAACCCCCUGAGGACACCAGGAUGCAGAGUUUCUGGAUGGUGAGGAGGAAGUUACAGAUGAAAAGAUCAAUAUAACAUUUUACAAUAGUUUGAGGCUACCAUUAACGGAUUAUCUACACUACAUGACCAAAAGUAUGUGGACACCUGCUCGUCAAACAUCUCAUUCCAAAAUCAUAGGCAUCUAUAUGGAGUUGGUCCGUCAUUUGCUGCUAUAACAGCCUCCUGGGAAGGCUUUCCACUAGAUGUUGGAACAUCGCUGCUCGGACUUGAUUGGGCGAGUAGGCCUGGCUCGCAGUCAGCAUUCCAAUUCAUCCCAAAGGUGUUCGAUGGGGUUGAGGUCUGGGCUCUGUGCAGGCCAGUCAAGUUCUUCCACACCGAUCGACAAACCAUUUCUGUAUGGACCUCGCUUUGUGCACAGGGGCAUUGUCAUGCUGAAACAGGAAAGGACCUCCCCAAACUGUUGCCGUAAAGUUGAAAGCACAGAAUUGUCUAGAAUGUAAUUGUAUGCUGUAGCGUAAAGAUUUCCCUUCACUGGAACUAAGGGGCCUAGCCGAACCAUGAAAAAUAGCCCCAGACCAAAAACUGUCAUGGUCCAAACACACCAAGAAAGUUGUGAAGAGGGCACGACAAUGCCUUUUCCCCCUCGGCAUCCCCUUUUCCCAUUGCUCAGCAUCCAACCGUAAGGUGCUACAGAGGGUAGUGCGUACAUACCAUAAGGCAUGUUAUAAGGAACAGGUAGCCAUAGACAGAGAGACGCAGGCCAAGGAGAACACAGAGCUGAGUCCUGAGAAACUGAAGAAGAUCCAAGACGCUCGGGAGAACGCCAGUGAGAAGAAAGACAAAGUGAGGAAAGCGCAAAGGCUACAUACUCACAACUGCUAAAUGUAUAUUCAUUCAUCUGAAAGUGUGGGAUGCUCAACUAGCCAGAUAUGGAUGUUUUGCACUUUCUUAAUCCCAUGCCCCCAUAUGUUUUACUACAUUUUUCCCCACAUACUGUUUCCUUUUAUAGCAGGGUCAAAAAUGGGUUAUUGUAAACACCAUAGUAACCACCUUCCAUGUUAUUGGUACACGCCAUCUUUGUUUAUCCAGUAGUAAAUCAUUUGAAUGUAUAUAAGAACACUGACUAAACCAGAAGGGCCCAUUCAUUUACAUCUGUCUCAUAACCACCAUAAAUGACACAUUCCAUCACUUUAAGAUGGUUUUCAGGCCAGGGACUGCAUAUGGCAAGCUUACGCAGUCUUUGUUGGCAAGACGUGUUUUGAUGGUAUGAUAUUACUGCUCUGAUGAAAGGUCUGCAAGAAAUAUGAGAAGGUGUUGGAGGAUCUCACGUCCUACACGCCUCACUACAUGGAGGAGAUGGAGGCCAUUUUUGAUCAAUCGCAGGAGGAGAAGAAGAAGAGGAUCAGCUUCCUCAAACAGGCCUUCAUGUCCAUCCACAGACACUUGGACAUCACCAACAAUGAGAGGGAUAAAGGCCUGGUCUGGAGUAAGAAGAACGUCCAGAGCUGCCAACUGGUUGAAGUAUGUUUGUCCAAAUUGAGGUUAGUGAUCGCUGUUCUGAUGUCUAGAAGCUGUUUUCGGUCAUAAGAAAUGGAGGCAUUAUGGUUAGCAGAUGUUAUUGCGAGUGUAGCGAAAUGCUUGUCAUAGCUGGCAUCAGCUGUAAUAAAUCAAGAUGUAUUCACAAUCACAAUGACAUAAGGCUUAGAAAUAAGAGUUUGGCAUUUUGAUAGAAAUGUCUACGUCAGGGUGACUGUCCUUACCUUAAGUGGUAUGGUACUUGUUUACUUGUUUACAUUUUAGCAGACGCUCUUAUCCAGAGCGACUUACAGUAGUGAAUGCAUACAUUUCAUUUCAUGCAUUUUUUUUUUGUACUGGCCCCCCGUGGGAAUCGAACCCACAACCCUGGCGUUGCACACACCAUGCUGGCGUUGAAAACACCAUGCUCUACCAACUGAGCCACCAAUGGAGUUUGCCUAUGGAUUUGUCUUCAUCCCUCCAUCAACCUAUCAGGGGGAAGUCAAAAGGAAAUCACCAAUUGCAAUUAAACGUUCAGCUCCCCUCCCUCCCCCAAACAGAGGGUGUCCCUGCUGUCCUACCCCUCCAGCACCCUCCUCAGAAUCUCAAAAACAGCCCCCUUUCCAGAGCAGAAAAUCACAUUUAAAAAUGGUGAGGUGAAGAGAGCUCCCAACUCCUCGCCACUGUUUGAGAAUGCAGCCUUCCAUCUUAGAUGAGGGCCUGAGCAACAGGCAGUUUACUUUGGGCACGUCAGUCAGGCGGAAAUGGAGAAUAGACCCUAGCCUGAAGAAGUAUUAAAGGCUUGUAAAGUAAGCAUUUCAUGCUCUACUUCCUCCAUCCAUGCGAUCUCAAUCACCUGCUUACAUCCAGCCAAUCCCAGGCACCCCUUCCCUUCCAAUAACCAGAGGCUGACCUUUCGAAGGAAGAACCAGACAUUGGGGAUCAUCCAUGGGAUCCAGACUACUCAUACCAUAUCCCAGAAGGCAGUGGGGAAGGGAUGAAGCAUUUAAACACCACCGUCAGUGGAGUCAGAUGACUGGUCAAUGUGCUUUAAAGAGAUAUUCUUUGGUAGGCUUAAAGCUAUUAUAGUCAGACAAUACUGGCAUUCAUGCUAUCCACAUAUUAAGAUGUCAACAAAACAAAGAGUCUUGCAUGUGAUGACAGAUGAAGAUAUGGCAAAGAUUAUAAUGACAACCAGAGCGUGAAUUACACCGUGACAUUCGAAGUGGUCUCUAUUGAGUGCAAAAAAAUGUAUGGGCCUAAUAAAGACAAUUUAACGGUA